CAAAAAGGCCUCAGAACAUCACAAGGCCACAACCUGGAGGCCUCAGAAUGACUCCAUCCAGAAGAAGAACCCCAGGCCUAGGACCUCAUCCACACUGUUGACCUCUCAGAGUGACUGACAGACACCAUGAGUGGAAGGAAGCAUGGCCACUGCUGAUGCCUGCACACCCAACCCCUUUGCCCUGACUUGUCCAGGAUCUGGACCUGCCCACAGAAUUCCCAUCGAAAAAGCCCACCUACAGUCCUU